UUACUUUCUUUCUCAUUCUAUUUCCGAAUUCGCUCCAAUGCAAGACGACAUUCGCCCGCUUGAUGCCGUUGACGUGUCUGUGAAUGCAGUGACCAUCAAAGCACCAAAAAAAAAUAGUUUGCGGUAUACUUUCGAAAAUAUUAUAUCAAUUUCUCUCAGAAUGUGCGUUAGGAAUGUUUUUAACGUGAUUUCAUUACUUAUUUUAACUUUGUUUGUUUGUAUUUUGGGAUUUCCUCUUAAACCGAAUACCGAUAUCCAAAUGAAUUUAGUUCGAUAUGAAACUGUACCUUCUAUCGAAUAUAAAUACAUUUUAAAAACAAUUUUACCAACUGAGAAUCAUUGGUGGCGACGUGGGACACAUCGAUUUUAUGCUGAAGAAUCUUCAAAAAAUAUACGAGCUCGAUGAUUACAUCUCUUUUCAUACACACGGACUGAUUAUUUAUUUGUUUAUUAUAAUAACAUGAUUAUAGAAUUAAUAAAGGAAAUAAUAGAAUUCA